rnacentral:rRNA from 1 species
ACUCCUACGGGAGGCAGCAGUGGGGAAUCUUAGACAAUGGGGGCAACCCUGAUCUAGCCAUGCCGCGUGAGUGAUGAAGGCCUUAGGUUGUAAAGCUCUUUCAGUCGUGAAGAUAAUGACGGUAGCGACAGAAGAAGCCCCGGCUAACUCCGUGCCAGCAGCCGCGGUAAUACGGAGGGGGCUAGCGUUGUUCGGAAUUACUGGGGCGUAAAGCGCGCGUAGGCGGACUGGAAAGUUGGGGGUGAAAUCCCGGGGCUCAACCCCGGAACUGCCUUCAAAACUAUCAGUCUGGAGUUCGAGAGAGGUGAGUGGAAUUCCGAGUGUAGAGGUGAAAUUCGUAGAUAUUCGGAGGAACACCAGUGGCGAAGGCGGCUCACUGGCUCGAUACUGACGCUGAGGUGCGAAAGCGUGGGGAGCAAACAGGAUUAGAACCCUGGUAGCACAGAG